rnacentral:rRNA from 1 species
AAAUCUGGCCUCUUUUGGGGUCCGAGUUGUAAUUUGCAGAGGGCGCUUUGGCGUUGGCAGCGGUCCAAGUUCCUUGGAACAGGACGUCACAGAGGGUGAGAAUCCCGUACGUGGUCGCUGGCCUUCGCCGUGUAAAGCCCCUUCGACGAGUCGAGUUGUUUGGGAAUGCAGCUCUAAAUGGGAGGUAAAUUUCUUCUAAAGCUAAAUACUGGCCAGAGACCGAUAGCGCACAAGUAGAGUGAUCGAAAGAUGAAAAGCACUUUGGAAAGAGAGUCAAACAGCACGUGAAAUUGUUGAAAGGGAAGCGCUUGCAGCCAGACUUGCCUGUAGUUGCUCAUCCGGGCUUUUGCCCGGUGCACUCUUCUAUAGGCAGGCCAGCAUCAGUUUGGGCGGUUAGAUAAAGGUCUCUGUCAUGUACCUCUCUUCGGGGAGGACUUAUAGGGGAGGCGACAUGUAACCAGCCCAGAUUGAGGUCCGCGCAUUUGCUAGGAUGCUGGCGUAAUGGCUGUAAGCGGCCCGUCUUGAAACACGGACCAAGGAGUCUAACAUCUAUGCGAGUGUUUGGGUGUCAAGCCCGAGCGCGCAAUGAAAGUGAACGGAGGUGGGAACCCCUCGGGGUGCACCAUCGACCGAUCCUGAUGUCUUCGGAUGGAUUUGAGUAAGAGCAUAGCUGUUGGGACCCGAAAGAUGGUGAACUAUGCUUGAAUAGGGUGAAGCCAGAGGAAA